UGACCGAUAGUGAACCAGUACCGUGAGGGAAAGGUGAAAAGAACCCCGGGAGGGGAGUGAAAGAGAACCUGAAACCAUAUGCCUACAAGAAGUCAGAGCCCGUUAAAGGGUGAUGGCGUGCCUUUUGUAGAAUGAACCGGCGAGUUACUGUAUGGAGCGAGGUUAAGCAGGAUAUGCGGAGCCGAAGCGAAAGCGAGUCUUAAGAGGGCGCGAGUUGCAUGCAGUAGACCCGAAACCGGGUGAUCUAGCCAUGACCAGGUUGAAGUUGGGGUAAAACCCGAUGGAGGACCGAACCGACCCCCGUUGAAACGUUGGCGGAUGAGUUGUGGCUAGGGGUGAAAUUCCAAUCGAACCCGGAGAUAGCUGGUUCUCCCCGAAAUAGCUUUAGGGCUAGCGUCGAGAGAAGAGUUGCGUGAAGGUAGAGCACUGAAUAUGUGAUGGCCCCAUCUCGGGGUACUGAGCAUAAUCAAACUGCGAAUGUCACGCCAACAUGCUCGGCAGUCAGACAGCGGGUGAUAAGGUCCGUUGUCAAGAGGGAAACAGCCCAGACCAUCAGCUAAGGUCCCAAAAUGUAUGCUAAGUGGAAAAGGAUGUGGAGAUGUACAGACAACUAGGAGGUUGGCUCAGAAGCAGCCAUCCUUUAAAGAGUGCGUAACAGCUCACUAGUCGAAUGACUCUGCGCCGAUAAUUUACCGGGGCUAAGCAUACUACCGAAGCUAUGGAUCCCAAGGGAUGGUAGGGGAGCGUUCCAUGAACGGAGAAGUACGACCGAAAGGACGUGUGGAGAUCAUGGAAGAGAGAAUGCCGGUGUGAGUAGCGGAACGUGGGUGAGAAUCCCACGCACCGAAAACCCAAGGUUUCCAGAGGAAGGUUCGUCCGCUCUGGGUAAGUCGGGACCUAAGGCGAGGCCGAAAGGCGUAGUCGAUGGACAACAGGUAGAGAUUCCUGUACCCGUAUAUAUGUGAAGGAAUGACGGAGAGAGGAAGCUGCAGCCAGCGGCUGGAAGAGCUGGUGCAAGCGAGAUAUCGGGAUGGCAGGCAAAUCCACCAUCCGAAACGAGAAGGCGUGAAGCGUACGGAAAGCUACGGCGAGUACGGAAGGCAGUGGAGGAACUUCCAAGAAAAGUUUCUAACGUUAAGUAUAUAUGGCCCGUACCGAAAAUGGACACACAUGGGUGAGGAGAGAAUCCUAAGGUGAGCGAGAGAACUAUAGCUAAGGAACUCUGCAAAAUGACUCCGUAACUUAGGGAGAAGGAGUGCUCAUAGAGAUAUGAGCCGCAGUGAAACGGCCCAAGCGACUGUUUACCAAAAACACAGCUCUCUGCUAAGCCGCAAGGCGAAGUAUAGGGGGUGACGCCUGCCCGGUGCUGGAAGGUUAAGGGGAGGGGUUAACGCAAGUGAAGCCCUGAACUGAAGCCCCAGUAAACGGCGGCCGUAACUAUAACGGUCCUAAGGUAGCGAAAUUCCUUGUCAGGUAAGUUCUGACCCGCACGAAAGGCGUAACGAUUUGGGCGCUGUCUCAGCUGUAGACUCGGUGAAGUCUUAGUACCUGUGAAGAUGCAGGUUACCCGCGACUAGACGGAAAGACCCCAUGGAGCUUCACUGCAGGUUGAUAUUGGGAUUUGAUGCAGCAUGUACAGGAUAGGUAGGAGGCAAAGAGAUGGAUACGCCAGUAUUCAAGGAGCCGCUGUUGGGAUACUACCCCUGUUGUAUUGGAUUUCUAACCGGACGACGUAGAGCCGUUGACGGGACAGUGUCAGUCGGGCAGUUUGACUGGGGCGGUCGCCUCCCAAAGAGUAACGGAGGCGCCCAAAGAUACCCUCAGCUUGGAUGGAAACCAAGCGCAGAGUGCAAAGGCAAAAGGGUGUUUGACUGCGAGACCCACAAGUCGAGCAGGGACGAAAGUCGGGCUUAGUGAUCCGGCGGUGCUGAAUGGAAAGGCCGUCGCUCAACGGAUAAAAGCUACCCUGGGGAUAACAGGCUGAUCUCCCCCAAGAGUUCACAUCGACGGGGAGGUUUGGCACCUCGAUGUCGGCUCAUCGCAUCCUGGAGCUGAAGUCGGUUCCAAGGGUUGGGCUGUUCGCCCAUUAAAGCGGUACGCGAGCUGGGUUCAGAACGUCGUGAGACAGUUCGGUCCCUAUCUGUCGUGGGCGCAGGAAAUUUGAGAAGAGCUGUCCUCAGUACGAGAGGACCGGGAUGGACGCAUCAAUGGUGGACCAGUUGUCACGCCAGUGGCAUAGCUGGGUAGCUAAAUGCGGAAGGGAUAAACGCUGAAGGCAUCUAAGUGUGAAACCCACUUCAAGAUGAGAUUUCCCAUUGCGCAAGCAAGUAAGACCCCUUAAAGACGAUAAGGUAGAUAGGUCAGGAGUGUAAGCAUGGUGACAUGUUAAGCGGACUGAUACUAAUAGGUCGAGGGCUUGACCGA
rnacentral:rRNA from 1 species